rnacentral:misc_RNA from 1 species
GAUGAAGAACGUAGCGAAAUGCGAUAAGUAAUGUGAAUUGCAGAAUUCAGUGAAUCAUCGAAUCUUUGAACGCACCUUGCACCCUUUGGCAUUCCGAAGGGUAUGCUCGUUUGAGUGUCAUUGUACUCUCAAACUUCCGAUCUUUGGAUUGGGAGCGGUGGACUUGGGUGUUGCUGCUUACUGUGGCUCACCUCAAAUCGAUUCGUGCACCUCUUGGUUGGACAUAGUACGGCGUGAUAAGUGUCUUCGCCGGCACCUCAGUAGAGGGUGGCUGAUCGGGAGCUCUGCUUCAAACCGUCCUCGGACAACAACUGACAACUUGACCUCAAAUCGAGUAGGACUACCCGCUGAACUUAAGCAUAUCAAUAAGCGGAGA